rnacentral:rRNA from 1 species
UAGGGAAUCUUCCGCAAUGGGCGAAAGCCUGACGGAGCAACGCCGCGUGAGUGAAGAAGGUCUUCGGAUCGUAAAACUCUGUUAUUCGGGAAGAACAAAUGUGUAAGUAACUAUGCACGUCUUGACGGUACCUAAUCAGAAAGCCACGGCUAACUACGUGCCAGCAGCCGCGGUAAUACGUAGGUGGCAAGCGUUAUCCGGAAUUAUUGGGCGUAAAGCGCGCGUAGGCGGUUUUUUAAGUCUGAUGUGAAAGCCCACGGCUCAACCGUGGAGGGUCAUUGGAAACUGGAAAACUUGAGUGCAGAAGAGGAAAGUGGAAUUCCAUGUGUAGCGGUGAAAUGCGCAGAGAUAUGGAGGAACACCAGUGGAGAAGGCGACUUUCUGGUCUGUAACUGACGCUGAUGUGCGAAAGCGUGGGGAUCAAACAGG